UACGAAGGGGGCUAGCGUUGUUCGGAAUCACUGGGCGUCAAGGGCGCGUAGGCGGCCGAUCAAGUCGGGGGUGAAAGCCUGUGGCUCAACCACAGAAUUGCCUUCGAUACUGUUUGGCUUGAGACCGGAAGAGGUAAGUGGAACUGCGAGUGUAGAGGUGAAAUUCGUAGAUAUUCGCAAGAACACCAGUGGCGAAGGCGGCUUACUGGUCCGGUUCUGACGCUGAGGCGCGAAAGCGUGGGGAGCAAACAGG
rnacentral:rRNA from 1 species